GAGUGUAUAGCUCAGUUGGAUAGAGCAUCCCGAUUUCCAAUCGGAACGUUCGAAGGUUCGAAUCCUUCUGUCUUCG
rnacentral:tRNA from 1 species